rnacentral:rRNA from 2 species
CUUCCCAUUCCGAACAGAGAAGUUAAGCCCGAUUGCGCCGAUGGUACUGCAAUGCAAUGUGGGAGAGUAGGUAGCUGCCUUUU